AACGAACGCUGGCGGCAUGCCUAACACAUGCAAGUCGAACGAGACCUUCGGGUCUAGUGGCGCACGGGUGCGUCACGCGUGGGAACCUGCCCUUAGGUUCGGAAUAACUCCCCGACAGGGGUGCUAAUACCGGAUAAUUUCUUCGGACCAAAGAUUUAUCGCCUUUGGAUGGGCCCGCGUUGGAUUAGCUAGUUGGUAGGGUAAAAGCCUACCAAGGCGACGAUCCAUAGCUGGUCUGAGAGGAUGAUCAGCCACACUGGGACUGAGACACGGCCCAGACUCCUACGGGAGGCAGCAGUGGGGAAUAUUGGACAAUGGGCGAAAGCCUGAUCCAGCAAUGCCGCGUGAGUGAUGAAGGCCUUAGGGUUGUAAAGCUCUUUUACCCGGGAUGAUAAUGACAGUACCGGGAGAAUAAGCUCCGGCUAACUCCGUG
rnacentral:rRNA from 1 species